rnacentral:rRNA from 1 species
CCUACGGGCGGCUGCAGUGGGGAAUAUUGGACAAUGGGGGGAACCCUGAUCCAGCCAUGCCGCGUGUGUGAAGAAGGCCCUCGGGUUGUAAAGCACUUUCAGUGAGGAAGAACGCCUGGUGGUUAAUACCCAUCAGGAAAGACAUCACUCACAGAAGAAGCACCGGCUAACUCCGUGCCAGCAGCCGCGGUAAUACGGAGGGUGCGAGCGUUAAUCGGAAUUACUGGGCGUAAAGCGCGCGUAGGUGGCUUGAUAAGCCGGUUGUGAAAGCCCCGGGCUCAACCUGGGAACGGCAUCCGGAACUGUCAAGCUAGAGUGCAGGAGAGGAAGGUAGAAUUGCCGGUGUAGCGGUGAAAUGCGUAGAGAUCGGGAGGAAUACCAGUGGUGAAGGCGGCCUUCUGGACUGACACUGACACUGAGGUGCGAAAGCGUGGGUAGCAAACAGGAUUAGAUACCCUAGUAGUC